rnacentral:rRNA from 1 species
UACGAAGGGGGCUAGCGUUGCUCGGAAUCACUGGGCGUAAAGCGCACGUAGGCGGACUCUUAAGUCGGUGGUGAAAUCCUGGAGCUCAACUCCAGAACUGCCUUCGAUACUGAGAGUCUCGAGUCCGGGAGAGGUGGGUGGAACUGCGAGUGUAGAGGUGAAAUUCGUAGAUAUUCGCAAGAACACCAGUGGCGAAGGCGGCUCACUGGCCCGGUACUGACGCUGAGGUGCGAAAGCGUGGGGAGCAAACAGG